rnacentral:tRNA from 1 species
GUUUAAAUAGUUUUAUAAAAAUUUUGAUUUGUGGAGUCGAAGAUGUGGAAAAUUCACUUUAAACC